GGCGGACAGAGUGGAGCGAGGCGGGGAAACCUAGGCGUGGCGGGGUGGAAGCAAGCAAGGCGGGGCGAGGCGGAGCAAGGCAGGGCGGGGAGAGGCGUGGCAGGGUGAGGCAGGGCGAGGCAAGGCGAGGCAAGGCGAUGCAGUGCGGAGCAAAGCAGGGCAAGGCGAAGCGAGGCGGGGCAGGGCGAGACGAGGCGGGGCGAGGCGGGGGGGGGCUAUGUGUUGCGAGGUGGGAGAGGCGGGGCGAGGUGGAGCGAGGUGGGGUGAGGUGGGGCGAAACGAGGCGUGGCAGGUGAGGUGGGGCCAGGCAGGGUGAGGCUAGGUGGGGUGGGGCGAGGCAGGGCAAGGUGGGGCAAGGCGGGGUGGUUCAAGGUGUGGCAGGGCAAGUAGGGGCGAGGCGUGGCAGGCGAGGCGGGGCAGGGCUAAGUGAGGCGAGGUAAUGCGGGGCGGGUUGAGAC
ensembl:lncRNA